rnacentral:misc_RNA from 1 species
GCUGUCCGACAAACCUUCAAUCGUUUCGACGGACGCAUUCUCCGCCUGUACCGCGAGCAGCAAACAGGCGCGCACGAUAUCGCCGUUGACGCGAACGGUGCACGCACCGCAAACGCCGUGCUCGCAGACAUGCGUUCCCGUAAGGGACAGAUGUUCGCGCAGAAAAUCCGCCAGAUUGAGCCGAGGAAGCACGUUUGCAGACACGCGCUCGCCAUUUACGGUCA